UGUGGGAGCGAGCCUGCUCGCGAAGGCGUCAGUCCAUCCGAUAUUGAGGUGGUUGAAAGAACGCUUUCGCGAGCAGGCUCGCUCCCACA
rnacentral:antisense_RNA from 1 species